rnacentral:lncRNA from 1 species
CUCAGAAACAGCACUGGCACCAUGAGGUCCCUUUAGCUUUCUGUUUUCUGUGUGCCUUUCCCAACUCAGCUCUAACUUUUUGCUAAUUUAUAUCUCCCUUACAUUCCCCACCAUCCCAUGUACAGAUGCUGCUGGAGUCCACAAGACACGCAGGCAAGACGGAAGGAGAGACCCAGUUGCUCUUUGGUAUGAAAAACUCAGAGCUCAGUUUGGCAUUUUGCUUUUGCCCACUGUUGGAGACAGGAGAUAGAUGGACCUUUGGCCUGGCUCAGUGUGGCUGCUCUUCUGGUGUUGUGAAAGAGCUGGAGCCCUUGUGGCUUAGAUAAAUAUCAUUCAAAUCAUGGAGUCUGAUUCAUGAGUCAAGACGAUGGCAGCCCUCCAAAACCUCCUUGCCCAUGGAGAGUGUGUUUGUGUGAGAGGGAAAGAGAGUUUCACUGUAUGAAGAGUAAGAA